rnacentral:sRNA from 1 species
UUAAAAUCUCUAUUCGGAUGGAUAAGCAAAUCUCCUUUCGAUUCUAGCAGCGCUUUAAGCACUGCUCCAUCUAUAUAAAUAUGAUGUCAGAGGAUCCCUCAUAACAAGAUAUAUCGAGUAUUGGCAAGAUCAUUGCAGAAAGACUUGAGUAUGAGAAGUUCAGAAUUCAACAUACAUACAUAGAGGCUUCAUAAACUACUUAUCUCGCUGGCUCAUUGCAUAGGGUCAAAAAAUGGACAGGGAAAAGAAAAAAGAAGAUGUAUCGUUACAAUUACUUCUUCUCUUGCUCUUGAUAAUAUUUUCUUUCCUUCAUUUUCUUGUAUCGUUCAGUGGCUGACCCUCUUUUUAGCUUACCCUCAAUACCCGUGGGCUCUUCCCCAGAAUCCGCGGAGCUGUCGCUGAGAAUUCGCGUAAUAAAACCCCGCUCAUUCAGUGUUUGUGUAAACGAGUCUGAAAUUUUCUGAUAUAUAGCAGAGUACAACUGUUCCUCGUUGACUUUAUUCUCCCAUCCCAUCGGUGCAGCCCAUGCGGGAUACCAUUUCCCAUGUGAUCCUCUAGUCUUAAACCGGCGAUCAUGAAGUUCAUUCCACGCAGCAAAUACUGCUGCGCAAGCUGCACAUGACAGCUUGGAAACACCAAUGUAGCUGAUUGGAGGAGGAAUAAAAUCGGCGGAUGCGAAAUACUUUAGCAGAUUACACUCACAGUGUACAGGGUAUUCACGUGUAUUUUCUUUCAACUGCGGGGUGGUCCUGGGAAUGAUAGUUUCUGAUUCCUCAUUCAUUUCGUAGCUGGAUGAUUUUAGAGCCAAUUUUAAAACGUUUAUCCAGCCUGCUGCAUCGGAAGGUAGAGUAACUGUAGUCUCUGAUUUGUUAAUACAAAUCACUUCUACUGAUUUCAUCGCGAGAAUGCGAUAAAA